AACGAACGCUGGCGGCAUGCCUAACACAUGCAAGUCGAACGAUACCUUCCGGUCUGGUGGCGCCCGGGUGCGUAACGCUUGGUAACCUGCCCUUAGGUUCGGAAUCACUCCCCGAAAGGUGUGCUAAUACCGGGUAAUUUCUUCGUACCAAAGAUUUAUAGCCUUUGGAUGGGCCCGCGUUUGAUUAGCUGGUUGGUAGGGUAAAAGCCUACCAAGGCGACGAUGCAUAGCUGGUCUGAGAGGAUGAUAAGCCACAAUGGGACUGAGACACGGACCAGACUGCGACGGGACGGAGGAGUAGGGAAUAUUAGAGGCGGGGCGCUAGUCUGACAACGCCACGUCGCGUAAGAGAGGCAGGGGGUAGGGUUGUACAGCCAGCUUAGACGAGAUGAAAGUGACAGUACCGGGAGAAUAAGCUCCGGCUAACUACGUG
rnacentral:rRNA from 1 species